rnacentral:lncRNA from 1 species
GCCUAUGUGAGAACUGGCUAUGAGAUUGAUUGUGCACACGAAGUAUACCCUUCUUUGUUCAGCUUCGUACAGUGCUUGCUGUGUUGUUGGUAGUUUGCCGGUGCACAUGGGUAGAACUUAUAAACCCACUUGAGUAUGAAUUUAAUGUGUUUAUGUUACUGCACUCCCUGAAAAUUCUCUUGAUUUUAGUGUCUUUCUCGGUGGUUUGUUUGAGAAAAUUGCUUCUCUUAUAUAUUUAUAAAUGUAAUAGGUCAGACAACAUGUUCUAGAGUUCUAGUUGGCUUUGGUGCUGCAGUUCAUUUUAUUCUUUUCUAUCACUGAAUAUAAGCGCACAGAAAUCAACUUUCACAUGCUCGAACGGUGAGCUAGGUUACUAAUCUCCUUUUACUACUAGUAUACUAUCACCAUGACUAUGCCACUAAUAUAAGGAUGUGGGAUGGUGCUCCAAAUGGAUACCCGCGGCUCUUCUUUAGUCUAAUUUUAAUGAACUAAAUGAAAAAAAUGAAGGAAAAAAUUGUCUAUUUAGUUUAUUAAGUUAGACUAGAGAAGAACCGCGGGUACCCAUUUGGAGCACCAUCCCCAUCCUUACACUAUACCCAUUUCAUUUUACUUCUUUAUACUUUUUGUUGGUGGCUCUUGUUGGGUGGGUUUCAUCUCUAGCCUGCCUAAACUUUCUUAGGACUAAAAUAUUUUUGUUGUUGUUAUUCCCAAUUUUGCCUUUCAUUUAGAUGUAUAUAUGAUUUUCAUUGUCAUUUGAGGCUGUCUCCUUUGUGAAAUGGGAAAUCAUAAGAGGAGCUCCUAGGAGUCUACAUUUUAUCAGUAAUUACUAGGUUAUAUAUGUCUCUUGCUUGUUGGGUACUUAUUUUUGCUAUCCUGUCCACUAAAUUAAUUGAGCAGAACAAUUAGAUGCCACAUCCUUUAUUAAGGACCUAAAGUUUUGGUCAUAUGAUUCUAACUGCUAUCUAGUUUUUCCCCCUGGUUGCUUUUAUUUAUGCAAUUGUAUGGUAGUAACUAGUAAGCCUGUUUUAUUCUUGGUUAGAACUUUGAACAAUCUUUAUGGCAUUCUGCUGCUUUUUUCUGUUUCUUUUUCAAAACAAAUUCUGCAGCAUUUUAUUGCGCUGAAAAUGUGUUUCUCAAAUCUACUCUGCCUUUUACAUUAUGGAUAUAUUUGACCUCUUAUUUCAUAAAUAAACACAUUCUGCGAGGCAUACUUUUGGAGUUUUGAUGUACAGGUGCAGUAAAAAUCGUAUAAUUGUUUUGAUAAUCAAUGUGCUUGUUUCUGCAUGAGAAAUUACAUGCCAUAUGUGGUAUAUGCCAUCCAUUUCUAAUCAAGUUGCUAUGAAAUAUAUUGCAUAUGUCGCUGUGUCUCUUAGAAAUAUCAAAUAUCAAAACAUACUAACAAUUUCUGCCUUGUAGAAGAAAAACGAUCUUGUUCCUUGUUAACUUUUCACGCUUACAUUCACCUUUUUUUUUGCGAGACACGCUUACAUUCACCUAAUUUGAUCUCCACAGCUAAACUUUAGGUUUUAUGAGUAUUUGUUCCCUCAGAACAUGUUCUGCUUCU